rnacentral:rRNA from 1 species
AUUGAACGCUGGCGGCAUGCUUUACACAUGCAAGUCGAACGGUAACAGGCCUUCGGGUGCUGACGAGUGGCGAACGGGUGAGUAAUGCAUCGGAACGUACCCAGAGGUGGGGGAUAACGCAGCGAAAGCUGUGCUAAUACCGCAUGUGAUCUGAGGAUGAAAGCGGGGGACCGAGCAGCAAUGUUUGGCCUCGCGCCUUUGGAGCGGCCGAUGUCGGAUUAGCUAGUUGGUGGGGUAAAGGCCUACCAAGGCGACGAUCCGUAGCUGGUCUGAGAGGACGACCAGCCACACUGGGACUGAGACACGGCCCAGACUCCUACGGGAGGCAGCAGUGGGGAAUUUUGGACAAUGGGCGCAGGCCUGAUCCAGCAAUGCCGCGUGCGGGAAGAAGGCCUUCGGGUUGUAAACCGCUUUUGGCAGGAACGAAACGGUGUCCGCUAAUACCGGGCGCUAAUGACGGUACCUGCAGAUUAAGCACCGGCUAACUACGUG